CCUAAAGUCCUUUAGCAC
rnacentral:tRNA from 1 species